AGUAUUGGGGUCACUGGUGUUCUGAAUUUUUCCCUAUAGAACUCAAGAGCAAAUCAAAAGCCUUCAUAUGUGAGGCUAGUGCUCUGCCACUGGGCAAGACCCUCCUUUUGUGGAUAUUUAAGACCUGACCAAGUUGUUGAGAUCAGGAUAUACACAUGAAUCCAAGGCUAUCCCAUUAACGACAGGCAAUAGGAUAGAAGUUACAAACCAGAUUUAAAGGAGGGAGAAGGGUCAGCAUGGUGGUAUGCCAUUAAUUCCAGUUCUCUGGAGGUAGAGACAGGUAGAUCUCUUAGAGUUAGAGGUUGACCUGCCUACAGAGUUAGUUCUGAGUCAGCUAGGGCUACAUAGUGAGACCCGGGGACUGUGUGGACAGGCAUCCUCAAGAUGAAAGGUGUGACCCUGUUGUGAGGAGCCCUGGAGUGGUCUGUGCAGGAGCCUCUUCUCCUGCUCUCCAUCCUGGCGUGUCUUUUGACUGACCAGGGAAAACCCAAGACCUGCGUCCCCUUCUCCAAGGUCCCCCACGACUUUGGAUUUCUCUAGGUUGAACCUUUUCCCUCCAGCUUCCAUGUCAACACAGACUUGGGUCUUAUCCCUUUGGGAUUGCGAGGCCUUGGAGCUCUGCUGGGCAGAACUAUGGGGCACUGCUUUGGAAGGAGGAGGCCUUUGCGCCUGACACACAUCCUGUACUGCAGAAGCUGGCUGUUUUUUAGGGUGGACCCCUUUUGCAUUUGGGGCUGGCAGAGAUGGGCAUGCGACAGGCUGUUCCUGAAGCAGUGUGCUCUCUGACAUGUGUAGACUUCUGAGAAAUUCCUGGAUGGAUUCGCUCUCUAGGUCGGCUGUACCCAGCUCCUUGUAUUCUCUCUUUUCCUUUUCAGAAAUCCCAAACUGCAUUGCUAGGAUCUUUUUUUUCAGGUGGAAAUUCAGUUUGGCCAAGAUAUGUGUGUUUAUUGGGUAGGGUCUGCAUGGGGGAGGCUGACUCUCUGCAGGCACCUUCUCUGUCCUUCUGUCCGCCUCUGCUCCAGGCUGGAACUCUUCUGCAGUGUCCGCAGACACCCCACUGUCAUCCUGAGCGCAGGGCUCAAGUGGGGUUAUUUGAGUCAGAGCAUUUGAUGGGCUUUUGACAGCUUUGGGCAUCUUCUCUCUGAGUCUAGGUUGGCUAGUGACUGCUGGGGAUGCAGGCCUAGAGAGAGCUACACAGUAAAGGGCAGGCAGGCCUGACAGGAAGGCCAGAUACUUAUGAUGUAAAGUUGUCUCCAGUUUCUUAAUGGUUUCCUUAGGCAGGGAUUGGGGCUUCUUACAGUGUUCAAAGAGAGUACCAGAUAAGGUUUGUGUCUCCUGGCUGAGGGUCUUUGGUUUCCAGGGAACAACUUUGUGAAGUAAGUCAGGGUCACUUUUACUUUCUGCCUGUAACUUCCUGCAUUGGCCUUGUGGAAUCCAAGGGAAGGGAGCCACUGUUGCUAAGCUUCCAGGAAUUUUGCAUUCCCAAGAUUUCCAGACUUGGGCCGGGACCUUGCCCUCCCGGAUCUGUUCACAUUUGGAAUCAACAUGGCUUUUCAACAUUUCCCUUGUCUUGGCAAACAAGUGUGGCAUGGGGAUUGUCCCUUUUGCCCGCUGUGAGUGAGAACAUGUCACCAGGCCCAUUGGCCUCUGGUUUCCCGGGCUGUGAGAUGCUCACAUUGGGUAAGCUACUGCUGCCACAGGGCAGGGACUGCGGGUCUGUUGAGGAGAGCAGCAUAUUCAUGGAGCGCUGGAUCCUCUGGGGCAGCCCCCAGCGGAGGUGAAUCAGAUGCUUCUGCAGGUGGAAUUCCAGCAGCCUUCCUGCGUGCUCUGGGAAGAUGUCCCUGGUGGGAUGUAAAAAGGGCUUCCUUGCCAAGGAAGUUUUUACUGUCUUAGCCUCACUGGGUGCUUCACACAGCAUUCGGCGCUGGUUUUGGAGGAGGAGAGCUGGCAGGCCCCACUGAAGCUUGCUGAGUUGUUUCUUUAGGAGGUGGCGUUCCAGUGCUUCACACUCAGCCAGCGACAGGAACGGGACAGUAAUCUGUGCUCCUUCACGCUCACAGGGAGUCUUGCCAUUCAGAGAGGUCGGGGAAGAGGGAAAGGCUGACUUACAUGGUGUUUUGGGUAAGAAAAGGCCCGAGAGUACCCCUGAGGGCUGAGCAUCUGUGGAGGGCUUAGACAUAUCCUUUUUCUUGCAGGUACCUUGAGAACUCAAGGAAGUAACAUCCAAGGACUCACUGUGAAGGGAUGGAAAGGUCCCAAACCGUGAAGAAUCUUUUUUGAUGGUUCUCUGCCGUCACUAAUUUCUUUUACUUCUUUUUCAUUCCAGCCCUUGACUUUCAUAAUUAAAUUGAGAACAUCACAAUUUUUCCCUUAUCGCUUUACCUUUGGCCCC
rnacentral:lncRNA from 1 species